GCCAGGCCCAGUGGCGCAUGCCUGUAAUCCCAGCAGCUCGGGAGGCUGAGACUGCAGGAUCACGAGUUCAAAGCCACCUCAGCAGGAAUAAGCAAGGUGCUAAAGCAGCUCAGUGAGACCCUGUCUCAA
rnacentral:SRP_RNA from 1 species